UACGUAGGGGGCAAGCGUUGUCCGGAUUUACUGGGCGUAAAGGGCGUGUAGGCGGCCAAGCAGGUCCGUUGUGAAAACUGGAGGCUUAACCUCCAGACGUCGACGGAAACCGCGUGGCUAGAGUCCGGAAGAGGAGAGUGGAAUUCCUGGUGUAGCGGUGAAAUGCGCAGAUAUCAGGAAGAACACCAAUGGCGAAGGCAGCUCUCUGGGACGGUACUGACGCUGAGACGCGAAAGCGUGGGGAGCGAACAGG
rnacentral:rRNA from 1 species